rnacentral:misc_RNA from 1 species
GUGGUGUUUGGAUUGAUACGGGUGGUCGGCUCCCUGCUUGAGCAGGCACGGCCAUGCGUACAUUCCUCUUCAGUUAUGCGGCAGGGCUUGUAUCGCCUUGAUCGUAUGUGUGGGUUUCCUGUGUUGCAUACCUGAUCAAUGGCAUCGUCUUGAUCAAAACAGUCCCUUUUUCGUCAAGCGCUGCUCUCGKGACGUAGGACRAAUCAACUAGCACCCUCUUUGAUCCAUCCUGUUGACGAUCAUUUGUCUAUGGUUUGGCCCAUUGAGGGAUGCUUGGUCUCUCGGAUAUGGAAGCCAAAGUGGGCAUGGGGUUGUAUGAUCCUUUUAUKGCCCUCGUURAGCGUUCUCGCUUCUCUAAAACRACCGCCUCUCACGUAKGGCACGYCCCASCGKGUUKGGYUACKYCAAAAAGGAAKGC